rnacentral:lncRNA from 1 species
GUUUCCUCUUAUCUCAGGGCUCGUGGCCCUUGGCGGACUCCGUCCCAGGCUCCGGGAUCGGAGCUCCGACGGUAACGGCGGCGGCGGCGGCUGAGACUCGGCGUUCUUGCGCCCCUCGCCUAGCGGCCGCAGCGGCCCAGUCACCUGCCCGGCCCGGGGCAAGGACUCGCGGAAGCGGAAGAGGGGUGCGGGCGCGGCCAGGGCGGUGGCGGCGGCUGCAGAAGGAGGAGGGAGACUGCGGGAGAGCCUUUGGCUGCCGCAAGAACUACGGAAGAGGCGGCUGAGCCGAGGCGGCCCCCGGCGCCCCCGCUUCUUGGUCAAAAAAAUAUUCUGGAUUCCAUUAUCCCUAUGUUUACAGAUGAAGAUUCUGAUGCUGAAAAAGUUAAGUGACUUCCUCAGGGUCACACAGCUAGUGAACGCCUGAAGUGGAAUCAAACACAAAUCUUGUUGCCUCAGGCUUUCAAGGAGAACUGUUAUUGAAGAUGGAUCCAUUUGGUCAGAUGUAGUAUUAAAGAAUGAAGAAAGAAAAAAAUUCCUAAUUAGUACUACAAAAAUUACAAGUAAUAGCCAUCUCAGCAAAUUUGAAAUUGGUAAGUUUACUAAGUUAAAUAUUUAUAGUUGUUAGUUGGUUAUUUUUUUAAAUCCUUGAUGAGAGUCCUCUUUGAUUAGUAUUUGUUAAGAUGAAGACUGAAAAAGCAUGAAUGGGAAGACAUAAACUGAUGCAGUGGAAAUAAUAAGGGACCUAGGAAAACAAUAAGGGCAUCCCCAAAAUCUUGGUAUAGUUGUAAG